rnacentral:lncRNA from 1 species
CACCCAAAGUGCUGGGAUUACAGACAUGAGCCACCGAGCCAGGCCGGUACCUGUUUUCUUGACAGCAUCGGACUGUAUGGGAAAUCUGUCUGCUAUCAGAGAAUUUAAAAUGUAAGCACUUCCAAAGAAACCUGAAGUUAUCCUGAGAACAAACGUCACUGCCAUGGAAACACCUCCUCCACGUUCCCGAUGGUGCACUGGUUUUCUUUCCUGUCUGACCAACAAGCCUCUGGAGAGUGGCCACCAUCUUACAGGCUCACUUUGUAUUCUGUAAACUUUCAGUUGGAAAAUAAACACA